rnacentral:lncRNA from 1 species
GGAUGGUCUCCCUGGGAGGCAGACAGGAUUCGGCAUAUAGAAUUAUCUCGCUCUUCAAUAGGGGAUGCUCAGCUUUCUUGGGGGAUCUGAUUAUUGCAAACAUCUUGCUUUUCAGGCUUCUUAAUCUGUCGGCAUGGCUGCUUGUCACAUUGCUGCUAUCCUUGCUUUAGGACAG